UACGAAGGGGGCUAGCGUUGCUCGGAAUCACUGGGCGUAAAGGGUGCGUAGGCGGGUCUUUAAGUCAGGGGUGAAAUCCUGGAGCUCAACUCCAGAACUGCCUUUGAUACUGAAGAUCUUGAGUUCGGGAGAGGUGAGUGGAACUGCGAGUGUAGAGGUGAAAUUCGUAGAUAUUCGCAAGAACACCAGUGGCGAAGGCGGCUCACUGGCCCGAUACUGACGCUGAGCACGAAAGCGUGGGGAGCAACAGGAUUAAGAA
rnacentral:rRNA from 1 species